CCUACGGGUGGCAGCAGUGGGGAAUAUUGCACAAUGGGCGCAAGCCUGAUGCAGCCAUGCCGCGUGUGUGAAGAAGGCCUUCGGGUUGUAAAGCACUUUCAGCGGGGAGGAAGGCGUUAAGGUUAAUAACCUUGGCGAUUGACGUUACCCGCAGAAGAAGCACCGGCUAACUCCGUGCCAGCAGCCGCGGUGAUACGGAGGGUGCAAGCGUUGAUCGGAAUUACUGGGCGUAAAGCGCACGCAGGCGGUCUGUCAAGUCGGAUGUGAAAUCCCCGGGCUCAACCUGGGAACUGCAUUCGAAACUGGCAGGCUAGAGUCUUGUAGAGGGGGGUAGAAUUCCAGGUGUAGCGGUGAAAUGCGUAGAGAUCUGGAGGAAUACCGGUGGCGAAGGCGGCCCCCUGGACAAAGACUGACGCUCAGGUGCGAAAGCGUGGGGAGCAAACAGGAUUAGAUACCCGAGUAGUC
rnacentral:rRNA from 1 species